CCCCUCGCAAGGAAGUCGAGGGUCGGUGUCGCGUUGUGUCUGAACCUCACGGUCAGCGGCGACCUCACCUCCUGACAACUUUAUUCCCGGCGCUGCGUCCUCGACGGGUAUCGGGAGGAGCCACGCUGGGGAAAGCGAUUCUUUGUUGAGGACCUUUCGCCAUGACAGUCUUCAGUGUGAAUGUCAAAUGGGGGAAGGAGAUGUAUCCAGGCAUUGAACUGGAUACUGCGAACCCCAAUGGUUUCAAAGUCGUUUUUUGCCUUGAGGGGGAGUAAGCCUCAUCGACAAAAAGAUCAUCUAAAAGGACCCCAUUUGGAACUGCCUGUUGGCAUUAAGAAUCUGGGAAAUACCUGUUAUCUUAAUGCAGUUAUCCAGUGCCUGAAAACAGUUCUAAACUCCUUUUCAUUGGGGAACAAGCCCAAGCGAAAAGUUACUAAGAUAGAUGGGUCUUUAAAUUUUGUGCCAGUGUUUCUAUUUGAUAGGUUGACCUGUGUCCAAGGUUCUGUUUAUAUCGGGGGCUGGAAUGAACUUCCCCGGGAUUUUUUGAUGCAAAAGGGUUCCUUAAAAAAUAUGCAGAGAAGACGGACAAAAGGUUUGCAUCUUCCCCUUUGGGACCAAAAACCCCCUGUGCCAUAAAUAAUCCCCAAGAUGUAAAGUACCUACAUACUGGUCUUACGGCCAAGAUGGAGAAUCUCAAAGCUGUCAUUUCUUUCAGGUUUUUCUAUAAAGAGAAAGGAGCGGGUAAAUCCCCAAACCCCUUAAAGAUGUAAAAUUCCCAAAUAAACCUAGUGUCUAUGAACUUUGUUACACCAAAAACCAAACAGAAAAUUUUAAAACCCAAUCAAGAAAAAUCCCAAGGGGGCAUGGAUGAUAGGAAACUUUAAGGGAAAACAAAACCAAAAAAGAAGGGGUAAAAACCCCUUUUGGAGGAUAAGGGAAACCAAAGAAAAAAGAAAAUCCCCAUCGGGUUUACUAUGUCAGCUGGGUGGCGAUGGGGGUGGUUUAGAAAAUGGCUCAAUGUGAUGAUGAAAGAAGGGCACCCUGUCACUGAAGAAGAAAUCCUGAGGCUUUCGGGAGGAGGUGAUUGGCAUUGUGCCUACAUUUUGCUGUAUGGUCCACGAGUUCUAGAGGUUCUGGAUGAAGAUGAGAAGCAGCCAGCAGCUGCAGAGGUCAAGAUGGAGACGGAGUGAGGGAGAAAGGGCAUAGACCAGCUUUGCAAUUUUAGUCAUCUCAAAUCAGGAGAAUAGAUAAUUGUUGAAAUUGACAGGAAGAACAGCAGAUUUUUCACAGAUUUUCUUGGGCCACCAAAUGCUAAUGUAAUAAUAACACAAGUACUCACAAGGAGAUGAGUAUUUUUUCUUUUAUGAUAGAAUGUAUUCAACUUCCAUACUCUUAGAUUCAUGUUUUAGGAGAAUGCGGUGAGGAAGAUUUGAUAUUUUGUUAAUUUUAUGGGUAUGGGAGAGCAUACUCUUAAAUGGCAAGGGCAUUGCCUUGUCCUCUAAUUAUUGUUUGUAUGUUCAUCCCAAGCUGAGAAAAUGGUUAAAUUAAACUAUUAAACUCAAAA